GAUUGUGUUCUCAUAUAUGUUCCUGCCUGCUACAUGUUUCCCCUCACAUGCUACAUAUUUGUCCCUCCAAUCCCAGUCCCUUGCUUGUGUUUGCUGGACUAUUCUUGGUCCUUGGUGUGAUGCUGAUUUUGUUUUUGUUCUGAGAUUGGUAUAUGCUUCUUCAAAUUGUUUUCAUAAGUCGAACUUUGUCAUAAAACUAUUCCUAUUAAGUCUGUCUUUUCAAAACUGUUUCUUACUUACCCUUUUUCAAAACUGUUUUCUUACUUAAACUCUUCAAAACUAGGUCGAACACUCUCACUCUAUCUUAGACCACUAAGUUCUGCCCCUUUUGUGUGAGCAUCGCCCAGGAAACCUUGAGCGCCCUAUGAACUUUGACACGCAAAAGAUGGCAUUUCCACACUGCACUUACUCUAUCUUGGCUAUGAAAUCUGGGUGAGGAGCAUUGCUCGGGAGCCUUUAAGGUCCUUAGGGAACUCUAACACACCCCAAUUAGGAGAAAGGUUGUUAAACAAUUCUUGGCAUUGAGGACCUGGAGACUUGGGCUUUUUCUAUAGGCUCCCUAUAAUUAAAUUCUUAUUUUUUCUUUAUUUCGGUUAUGUAAUUCCUAUUCAAAGGCCUGUAAUAAUUAUUUGUAAAUGAC
rnacentral:lncRNA from 1 species